AGAGUGAGACCCCUGUAUCUAAAACAAAACAAAACAAAAUGAAAACAAACAGACAAAAAACUCUUAAGGAAAAGAUGGUUUAUAACUGUAUUUCUCUCAGGUCAUCGUCAUAGCUUAUGGUUCAUUCCAUUUCAGUCAUUAUUAAUAAUUGCCUUGCCCCAGUAGACCAAUGGAUAAGGCAUUGGGCACCCUAAGCCACGGAUUGUGGGUUUGUGUCCCAUCUGGGGUGCCAUCAAAUUAAAAAAAUAAUAAUAACUGCCUCAAUGCCUCUGUCCAACCAUAAUUAGCAAAAAAGUCUUAUUUCUUUUAUUGUCCUUUCAUUCUAACUUCUUUCUGUUCUCUGCCUUUGUAAGAGAUGAUUGAAUCUAAUUUUGUAUACUGAAGGCUAUUUUUGAUUUGUCUGGGCUCUCUCUAGAUCAGUCUUAGAAUAAUAUUAUACAGUGUCAUUGCUUCAUGGGGUCCAGCCCAGUGGCUUUGUGAUACUCCGUAGGACUUUGAGCAUUUCAUGAAGAGGUUGCUUAGCACGUGAUUUGAAGAGUCAAACCUUUCUGUCUCCAAAUUUAAACACAUAUAAAAUGUAAGUCUUCAGAAAACUUUAUUUAAAUGGAAAUAUUCUCAGAGAGUGUUAAGAAUUAUGACUUUAGACAUUAGCUAACACCCCAGCCAUGAUGAGUCACCAGGCCCAUGAAAAGAACACACUUUUGAGAGGGAGAAGUGAUCCUUGCAAGUAUGAGAGGGAUCUCCAUGUGGAAGGGAUCCAGGGAUUUAACUGCCUGUUUUUGCACUGAUGGUGUAAUUCCUCUAGCCGUGUUAGCAACUGAAAAUAUGAUCUCGAACCUGACCUUUGAAAGAGCCAAGAUUAGAGGACAUGUUGUCUGCAACCAAUUUUCAUGCCAUUACCAAAACAUGCUAAACCCUACUAGAAGAACAACACUAGAGUCCUGCUAAAGAGAUAGGAAAAGACAUUGGCAAAAAAAAAUUUUUUGCUGUUUGAAAUUACAGGUUCAAGCCUUCAAGCCUCCAUAACGACAAGAAGAAGAAAGUUAUUGCUAGAUGACCGAAAGCAAGACUCCUGACUUCUCCGUGCCUCUGAAUUCUCAUCAAACGGCAACAACACUAACAUCUGCUUCAUGGAUGUGUCAGAUUUCAUUUCAACUCCCGUGAUUUGCCCUCUGCUGGAAGACAGAAUCUUUGUCCUCUGAGAACAAUCUCCCUCCUUACGGAGGCCGGUGGAUUCCAUCCUGGAGGCUGUGUUGACCGUGUCUCCAAACAGGCAAUAACGAGGCAUCUUGAUUCCCACAACUCCAGCAGCGCAGGGACCUGAAAGGAAGACAGAAAGCAGGAAGUGGAGGCGAUGGAGACUGCAGAGUGGAGUGAAGAUGAGAAAGCUGAGGCCUACAGAGGAAGUAUGGCUUUCAUAAGUUCCCACACCCCACUAAGGACAGGGCUGGAGUAGAACUCGGCAAUAUCUGAACCCGUCAGUCGUUUUAUUGCACCCCCCUCCUCCACAACCCAGGCCUUGGGUGUUCAGGGGAAGAUUUGGAGGUGUGCUGACGGUGGCAAAGGAAGAAUGCCCAGGACUCUGCUGGAAAACAAACAGCCCCAUCAACCAUGAAGCUUCACGGACACUAAUGAUGACAGCCUCUGGGCCAUCAAGGGAGGUCUUUCCAGUUGGUACAGUGACACCUUGGGACCUUUGUAGCAACACUCCCUGGUGUGGCGUGUUGGAUUCACGGGGGCAAAUCUGGAGGCUACAUACAUGUAAUGAAUAAAUUGGAUAAUCUGC